rnacentral:rRNA from 2 species
AGAGUUUGAUCAUGGCUCAGAUUGAACGCUGGCGGCAGGCCUAACACAUGCAAGUCGAGCGGUAGCACAGAGAGCUUGCUCUCGGGUGACGAGCGGCGGACGGGUGAGUAAUGUCUGGGAAACUGCCUGAUGGAGGGGGAUAACUACUGGAAACGGUAGCUAAUACCGCAUAACGUCGCAAGACCAAAGUGGGGGACCUUCGGGCCUCAUGCCAUCAGAUGUGCCCAGAUGGGAUUAGCUAGUAGGUGGGGUAACGGCUCACCUAGGCGACGAUCCCUAGCUGGUCUGAGAGGAUGACCAGCCACACUGGAACUGAGACACGGUCCAGACUCCUACGGGAGGCAGCAGUGGGGAAUAUUGCACAAUGGGCGCAAGCCUGAUGCAGCCAUGCCGCGUGUGUGAAGAAGGCCUUCGGGUUGUAAAGCACUUUCAGCGGGGAGGAAGGCGGUGAGGUUAAUAACCUCACCGAUUGACGUUACCCGCAGAAGAAGCACCGGCUAACUCCGUGCCAGCAGCCGCGGUAAUACGGAGGGUGCAAGCGUUAAUCGGAAUUACUGGGCGUAAAGCGCACGCAGGCGGUCUGUCAAGUCGGAUGUGAAAUCCCCGGGCUCAACCUGGGAACUGCAUUCGAAACUGGCAGGCUAGAGUCUUGUAGAGGGGGGUAGAAUUCCAGGUGUAGCGGUGAAAUGCGUAGAGAUCUGGAGGAAUACCGGUGGCGAAGGCGGCCCCCUGGACAAAGACUGACGCUCAGGUGCGAAAGCGUGGGGAGCAAACAGGAUUAGAUACCCUGGUAGUCCACGCCGUAAACGAUGUCGAUUUGGAGGUUGUGCCCUUGAGGCGUGGCUUCCGGAGCUAACGCGUUAAAUCGACCGCCUGGGGAGUACGGCCGCAAGGUUAAAACUCAAAUGAAUUGACGGGGGCCCGCACAAGCGGUGGAGCAUGUGGUUUAAUUCGAUGCAACGCGAAGAACCUUACCUGGUCUUGACAUCCACAGAACUUUCCAGAGAUGGAUUGGUGCCUUCGGGAACUGUGAGACAGGUGCUGCAUGGCUGUCGUCAGCUCGUGUUGUGAAAUGUUGGGUUAAGUCCCGCAACGAGCGCAACCCUUAUCCUUUGUUGCCAGCGGUUAGGCCGGGAACUCAAAGGAGACUGCCAGUGAUAAACUGGAGGAAGGUGGGGAUGACGUCAAGUCAUCAUGGCCCUUACGACCAGGGCUACACACGUGCUACAAUGGCAUAUACAAAGAGAAGCGACCUCGCGAGAGCAAGCGGACCUCAUAAAGUAUGUCGUAGUCCGGAUUGGAGUCUGCAACUCGACUCCAUGAAGUCGGAAUCGCUAGUAAUCGUAGAUCAGAAUGCUACGGUGAAUACGUUCCCGGGCCUUGUACACACCGCCCGUCACACCAUGGGAGUGGGUUGCAAAAGAAGUAGGUAGCUUAACCUUCGGGAGGGCGCUUACCACUUUGUGAUUCAUGACUGGGGUGAAGUCGUAACAAGGUAACCGUAGGGGAACCUGCGGUUGGAUCACCU